rnacentral:lncRNA from 1 species
GACCUGCAGGAGCCAGGGCUGCCCGCCGAGCUGCAGUUGCCGCUGCUGCCGCUGUCAGUGCCCGACUGAAGAGUGACAGCCGCAAAGGCAGAAGUGAGCACCGAACCCCGCGCCUCUACCUAACAGGUGCAUGCGCCGAUCUAGUGAGUGGACCCAGCUCGCAAGAUCUCAGGUAACCAUUCAUGAGCCUGAGGCUGUGAGAAAUGCUCGCUGUGCAAAGGGGAACUCUCAGCAGAUUUUCUGAAACUGUUCUAGAAAUACACUUUUCGGAUUGAUUCAGCAUUACCAGCUUAUCCAACAAAAGUAUUAACAUAUACAUUAACAACGUCGAAAGUAGCCUACUUUAAGAGAAAAUAUGCAGAAGAAGAAGAUUUACAUCAAGAUUACCAUGGGUAUUUUCCAAAAG